rnacentral:rRNA from 1 species
UAGUCAUAUGCUUGUCUCAAAGAUUAAGCCAUGCAUGUCUAAGUACAUACUGUUUAUAAAGUGAAACCGCGAAUGGCUCAUUAAAUCAGUUACGGUUCCUCGGAUAUUCUUUUUUACAUGGAUAACUGUGGUAAUUCUAGAGCUAAUACAUGAACAAGUGUUCCAACCUCAGCUUGCUGACGGAAGGAUCGCAUUUAUUAGUACAAGACCAAUGAUUCUUAUUCACCUAGAACCCUGUUCAGUGAUUUCGGUCGCUGUCUAAGGACUAGCAGUGGGGAUCUUAGCAACUUCGGUUGCAUUUCUUGUGAUGACUCUGAAUAACUGAGCAAAUCGUAUGGCCUCUGAGCCGACGAUGUAUCCCUCAAGCAACUGCCUUAUCAACUGUCGAUGGUAGGUUAUGCGCCUACCAUGGUUGUAACGGGUAACGGGGAAUUAGGGUUCGAUUCCGAUUUCAAAAUUAUUUUAUUUUGUAAAUUCUAAGGAAGGCAGCAGGCGCGCAAAUUACACAAUCCCAGUACGGGGAUGUAGUGACGAAAAAUAACAAUACGGGACUCUAUUGAGGCCCCGUAAUUGGAAUGAGUACAAUUUAAAUCCUUUAACGAGGAUCUAUUGGAGGGCAAGUCUGGUGCCAGCAGCCGCGGUAAUUCCAGCUCCAAUAGCGUAUAUUA